AGAGAGAGACAUGCGCGCAUAUCAAUAAGCGGAGGAAAAGAAACUAACAAGGAUUCCCCUAGUAACGGCGAGUGAAGCGGAGAAGAGCUCAAAUUCGAAAUCUUAAAGGGUUUCCCUUUACGAAUUGUAGUUUAAAGAAGUGUUUUCUGUUGAGGUUUUGGUAAAAGUUCUUUGGAAUAGGACAUCAUAGAGGGUGAGAAUCCCGUAUUUGACCUUUACUUUCAACUUUGUGAUACACUUUCAAAGAGUCGGAUUGUUUGGGAAUGCAGUCCAAAAUGGGUGGUAAAUUUCAUCUAAAGCUAAAUAUUGGCGAGAGACCGAUAGCGAACAAGUACCGUGAGGGAAAGAUGAAAAGAACUUUGAAAAGAGAGUUAAACAGUACGUGAAAUUGUCAGAAGGGAAGCGUUUGACACCAGUGUUGUUUUUCUGAAAAUCAAUUAAAGAACUGUUUAUGCUAAGUUGUUUAGACUUUAUCAGCUAUCUGUUUAGUUUUGAGCUUUUCUUUAAUGCACUUUUCAGUUAACAAGUCAACAUCAAUUUCUUUUGCUGUAAAAAAGCUUGAGGAAGGUGGCUUGAGAUUCGUCUUAAGUGUUUAUAGCCUCUUGCCUAUGCAGUCGGAGAGAUUGAGGUCUGCAGCGUAGAUCCUUCGGGGCUAAAUGCAUUUGUGCUAAGUUAUAGCAUUUUAUAGACAACUUGUUGACUACGAUUUGUCUUGUAGCUUACUCGCUUAUGUUAUUUUACCUACGCUUAGGAUGUUGAGCGCAUGUCUCUCUCU
rnacentral:rRNA from 1 species